rnacentral:tRNA from 1 species
UGGGGGGGUAGCUCAGCUGGGAGAGCGUCGCGUUCGCAACGCGAAGGUCGGGAGUUCGAUCCUCCUCCUCUCCACCCA